rfam:Ictidomys tridecemlineatus contig088920, whole genome shotgun sequence.
UGGGCUGGGGCUCAGCGGUAGAGCACUCCCCUGGCAUGUGAGAGGCGCUGGGUUCCAACCUCAGCACCACAA